rnacentral:rRNA from 1 species
AACGAACCGUGCGAACGUUGUUCGGAUUCACUGGGCUUAAAGGGCGCGUAGGCGGGCAAUCAAGUCAGGGGUGAAAGCCUCCAGCUUAACUGGAGAAGUGCCUCUGAUACUGGUCGUCUUGAGGGAGGUAGGGGCAUGUGGAACUUCCGGUGGAGCGGUGAAAUGCGUAGAGAUCGGAAAGAACACCAACGGCGAAAGCACUCUGCGUGGGCCGACACUGACACUGAGAGACGAAAGCUAGGGGGAGCGAAUGGG